rnacentral:rRNA from 1 species
CGUAGGGUGCGAGCGUUAAUCGGAAUUACUGGGCGUAAAGCGUGCGCAGGCGGUUUAGUAAGACAGGCGUGAAAUCCCCGGGCUCAACCUGGGAACUGCGCUUGUGACUGCUAAGCUAGAGUACGGCAGAGGGGGGUGGAAUUCCACGUGUAGCAGUGAAAUGCGUAGAGAUGUGGAGGAACACCAAUGGCGAAGGCAGCCCCCUGGGUCGAUACUGACGCUCAUGCACGAAAGCGUGGGUAGCAAACAGGAUUAGAUACCCUGGUAGUCCACGCCCUAAACGAUGUCAACUAGGUGUUGGGAGGGUAAAACCUUUUAGUACCGGAGCUAACGCGUGAAGUUGGACCGCCUGGGGAGUACGGCCGCAAGGUUA